rnacentral:rRNA from 1 species
UACGUAGGGGGCAAGCGUUGUCCGGAAUUAUUGGGCGUAAAGAGCUCGUAGGCGGUCUGUCGCGUCGAAUGUGAAAACCCGGGACUCAACUCCGGGCCUGCAUUCGAUACGGGCAGACUAGAGUUCGGUAGGGGAGACUGGAAUUCCUGGUGUAGCGGUGAAAUGCGCAGAUAUCAGGAGGAACACCGGUGGCGAAGGCGGGUCUCUGGGCCGAUACUGACGCUGAGGAGCGAAAGCGUGGGGAGCGAACAGG